rnacentral:rRNA from 1 species
GACGAACGCUGGCGGCGUGCUUAACACAUGCAAGUCGAACGGAAAGGCCCUGCUUGCAGGGUACUCGAGUGGCGAACGGGUGAGUAACACGUGGGUGAUCUGCCCUGCACUUCGGGAUAAGCCUGGGAAACUGGGUCUAAUACCGGAUAGGAGCCAUUUUUAGUGUGAUGGUUGGAAAGUUUUUUCGGUGUAGGAUGAGCUCGCGGCCUAUCAGCUUGUUGGUGGGGUAAUGGCCUACCAAGGCGGCGACGGGUAGCCGGCCUGAGAGGGUGGACGGCCACAUUGGGACUGAGAUACGGCCCAGACUCCUACGGGAGGGAGCAGUGGGGAAGAUUGCACAAUGGGCGCAAGCCGGAUGCAGCGACGCCGCGGGGGGGAUGACGGCCUUCGGGUUGUAAACUCCUUUCGCUAGGGACGAAGCUUUUUGUGACGGUACCUAGAGAAGAAGCACCGGCUAACUACGUG